UACGUAGGUGGCAAGCGUUGUCCGGAUUUACUGGGCGUAAAGAGCGCGCAGGCGGUCGGAUAAGUCGAAUGUGAAAGCCCCCGGCUCAACUGGGGAGGGUCAUUCGAUACUGUUCGACUCGAAGGCAGGAGAGGGAAGUGGAAUUCCCGGUGUAGUGGUGAAAUGCGUAGAUAUCGGGAGGAACACCAGUGGCGAAGGCGCACACCUGGGCCGAUACUGACGCUGAGGCGCGAAAGCUAGGGGAGCAAACAGG
rnacentral:rRNA from 1 species